UGGCUGACGAGUGGCGAACGGGUGAGUAAUGCUUAGGAAUCUGCCCAGUAGCGGGGGACAACGUGUGGAAACGCACGCUAAUACCGCAUACGCCCUACGGGGGAAAGCAGGGGAUCUUCGGACCUUGCACUAUUGGAUGAGCCUAAGUCAGAUUAGCUUGUUGGUGGGGUAAAGGCCUACCAAGGCGACGAUCUGUAGCUGGUCUGAGAGGACGAUCAGCCACACUGGAACUGAGACACGGUCCAGACUCC
rnacentral:rRNA from 1 species